AACGAACGCUGGCGGCAUGCCUAACACAUGCAAGUCGAACGAGACCUUCGGGUCUAGUGGCGCACGGGUGCGUAACGCGUGGGAACCUGCCCUUAGGUUCGGAAUAACUCCCCGAAAGGGGUGCUAAUACCGGAUAAUGUCUUCGGCCCAAAGAUUUAUCGCCUUUGGAUGGGCCCGCGUUGGAUUAGCUAGUUGGUAGGGUAAAAGCCUACCAAGGCGACGAUCCAUAGCUGGUCUGAGAGGAUGAUCAGCCACACUGGGACUGAGACACGGCCCAGACUCCUACGGGAGGCAGCAGUGGGGAAUAUUGGACAAUGGGCGAAAGCCUGAUCCAGCAAUGCCGCGUGAGUGAUGAAGGCCUUAGGGAUGUAAAGCUCUUUUACCCGGGAUGAUAAUGACAGUACCGGGAGAAUAAGCUCCGGCUAACUCCGUG
rnacentral:rRNA from 1 species